rnacentral:rRNA from 1 species
AAGACCUUGCGCUUUUGGAGCGGCCGAUGCCUGAUUAGCUUGUUGGUAAGGUAAAAGCUUACCAAGGCUUCGAUCAGUAGCUGGUCUGAGAGGACGGCCAGCCACACUGGGACUGAGACACGGCCCAGACUCCUACGGGAGGCAGCAGUGGGGAAUUUUGGACAAUGGGGGCAACCCUGAUCCAGCCAUGCCGCGUGAGUGAAGAAGGCCUUCGGGUUGUAAAGCUCUUUCAGCCGGAACGAAACGGUUACGGUUAAUACCCGUGAUUACUGACGGUACCGGAAGAAGAAGCACCGGCUAACUACGUGCCAGCAGCCGCGGUAAUACGUAGGGUGCGAGCGUUAAUCGGAAUUACUGGCGUAAAGCGUGCGCAGGUGGUUUUGUAAGUCAGAUGUGAAAGCCCCGGGCUCAACCUGGGAACU